AGUCUUUUAUACUGCACCUUUUAUAUUCAAUUAUACCCCAACUGCAUUCUGCUCCAGUUAAUGUAACUUUGAUAUAGUUACAGAUCAUGUGUGUGUGUGUGUGUGUGUGUGUGUGUUUGUAUUAAACACACAUAAAAAGGCUUGCACAUAGAUCUAAACUGUCUUGUAUAGUUUGGUCCCUAAAAUAUAAUUAGCAUUACAUUGAAAUUUACACAAAUUUUAAAUUUAAUAUUCCACUCUGUUGGGUCUCUCUCAAAACCGCUAAAACACAAAAAGUAAUGAGACAUUUUUAUUUUGUUGUACUUUUUACGUUAAGGAUGGUGUUUUCAAGUUUCCCAGCCUUCUAUGAGCUGGUAGCUUGCCUCUCAUUGAGUACACCUUGAAAUUAUAUACUGUUGGUAAGUCUGCUCUCUAGUUUUGGUAAAACUCUUGAAACAGCUGCUUCUUUUAUGUCACUUUUCUCAAGUUAAAGAGGGUUUUAUACUACCCAAAUUCUGUCCUCCAAUCUAAGUAAUUAAAGGUUUGGAGUGAAGCUUCUCCCUUACUCAAAUAGUUUGGAUCUUAACGGUGGUGGAUUUUCUUCUUCAUGUUUCUUUUCGCUGACAAAUAGGAACUUUUUGAACAGACGUCUGUACCUCUUGCCAUUUAAUUAGUGGUUACCCUCCACCACUCAUACUACUAUUUCAUUCUGCAUCUUUAGUUUUGGUAUAGUUUUGUGCGUUAAUAGCAAAUGUGAAUCUCCAUCUGAAUGUACGCCUGUGUCCAUUACUGAUGGUACCAUAUCUGGUUAAACACUGUGGCCUUUUAAUUAGCAGACUUACAGAUUACAGACACAGGUGGCUACAGAUGAGCAAGUGUCUCAUGAUGGCUGCUUAAUUGGAAAUGCUGACUUCACAGGGUGAGCUGUUAGUCUGGUGGAAUUUGCAACAUAGUAAAGUCUAGUGUAACCACAUCACUGAUCACCCACCUUCAAUGUGCUAAGGCAUGCUUUGGCGAUAGCAGAUGACAUGAACAGCUCGUUCUGGCAGAUGAUAAUGAACAGCUCAUUAUGUGACAGAAGACAUCCCAUGGAAUUUUUUUAAAUUCCCAUCACAGGGCUGUUACUCAUCUUUAUCCAUAAUAAAUAAAUAAGCCAGCUUUUCUUCAAGGAGCCUUUUCCUUUAUGGUACAGUGUUCAAUAAGAAAAGUGAUUUCUUUAUAUGCCUUGCCUUAAAUGGGUUCUAGUCAUUGUACCAAAUGUCAAAUGCGAACAUGGUUGUUUUCACAACAUGUUCAUACAGCAGCAGAAUUUUUUAAGUCUACAAAUCAAGUAUGUAGAAUUUGUACAUGCAGGUCCCGCUUUAUGAACACUCACUAUGCAGAAAUUCACUUAUCAGAACACAAGGAAUUGGUACCCAAACCUCACUAUAUGCAAUGCACAUUCAGAUAUCCAAAUAGAAAGCAUUUUUCUACUUCCUUGUUUGCCUUUUGCUGGUUAUCCGAGGGAGGGAGGGGGAGGAAUCGAACAGCAUUUUUUCAGGGGUUUCUGGGUUUUUUGUGUGUUUUGGGGUCAAAGUUCCAUGAUCAGAAACACAUUAGAACUUUUACCAUAGGAAUUAAUGGGAAUCAUUGACUCAUAAUGUGAAUGCUCACCCAUUGAAUGAUUUCCAGGGAACACAUGGUGCUUGUAAAGCGGGGUCUGCAUGUACAUUUGACUUAACAUGGUUUUAUUUUGCUGAUGGGAUUACCUGACAAAUUUGCAGAAGUUUCAAACUGAUAGGAAAAUAUAAAAUAUAUAAUUAAUUUAAAAUUUUGCUUUGCUCCAAAGAGAUGUUUGCUUUCACCAGAGUUAGAUUGUGGCUUGAUUCAGGUUUAAUGCCAAACCACGACUUGUUAUUACAAGAAUGAGCCUUAUCCUCUUACGUUGCCCCUCACCUCACAUGCUUCACUUUACAUCAACCUUGGAGAAACCAUAGUUUGUCAUUGCAUCCAAACUAGCAAACAAUGGUUUGUGCGAGUCCUGCGAACCAAGUUGGAAAACCAAAUUGUAGUUCGCUAGUUCAGAGGUUAGUUGGAUACUGGCAAGUUAAUAAGAAAGUUAGUAACCUAGCAGGUGCAUUUUAUGCUAGAAAGUUUUGGUUUGUCAUUGCUUCUGAACAAGCCCUUGGUCUUUUUAAAUCUCUGAGAUCAUGUUUUACAUUUGUUAGCAAGAUAACUGGCAGAUGAUUUUUGGUUGAAUCAUCCUUUGCCUCCCCCAUUUUUUUCUUUCGAAUAGAGAAAUCUAAGUGGCCUUUGGAAUUAGAAAAGAUAUUCAGAACACAGCUAAGCAUUGAACUAACUUUUUGGUAGUUAGUCUUUUCUGGAAUAAGUGACCAAACAGUGACUUUUCAUGACUGAAAGUGAUGGUUAGUAUCUCAGUAUCUGGGGACACACACACCUACAUACAUAUAUAUCCAUUGGAUGGUGAAGUAUGCUCUGAUACAGAAAGCUUAUGCUGUAAUACAUUUGUUGGUAGUUUCAGGUAUCAUGGGUUGUUGUCACUGUUAGAUACAGAGCUGGAUGCUAGGUGUAGAGCUGCUUAAGAAAACCUAACAUUGUAAGUAGCUUGAACCACCCAAGACAACACAUUUAACUCAGUUUUAAACUGUGCCCUGGCUUAUAUCCAGUGACUCUAGCUGUUGUUGGUUUGGAUAGCUUCCGAAGCUACCUAUGACUCCUUAACUCACUCACCCUUUGCCUUGUCGUAUUCCUAGAAGUAGAAGAAGUGAUUCUUCUAUUUAGAUCUCCUCUGUGAACAGUUUAUGGCACCAGGACCUCCUGAUGGCAAGAGAAAGAAAACGUUUUAACCUGUUUUUCACAUAAUAUCACCUUUCACUAUUUCCAACAUAGAAAUAGCUUACAGCUGUUCAAAUAUGAGCAGUGGGUGGUAAUCGGUAAAGUUUUACUUAACAUAGACCCAUUGAAAUAAAUGGACUAGACUUAUUAAUGGCCAUUAAUUUCAGUGGGUCUGCUCUGAACAAAACUUAGUUGACUACCACACAGUAUAUUUUGGUGUUUUUACAGAUCGGAGGUAUUAGAAUUUUUCAUUUUCUUCUGAUCAUGCGUGUCGCACAACCCCAGCUUCUCUGGGCCCUGUUCUGUGGUGCAGGCGAGAGAGUUCCUAGCCAAGGUUGAGUGUAUUCCUCUGCUCACCCACUGCUCCCUUUAGACCAAGGUGUCCCAACUUUUCAUACCAAGUGGGCAAGGUCAACAUUUGAUGCCUUCUCAUGCCUCCAGGACCCUGUCAGAGCCCUCCUGCCUCCUUCCCAAAGCCCAUUGCCUCACUUACCCAGCUUUGGGAAGGCAACACAAGGGCUGGGGCGGGGGAGUGUCAAAUGUUGUUGAAGGCCACCCAAAAAGACCUUGAGGGCUACAUGCGGACUGUGUAUUGGACUGCCCCGCUUUAGACUUUUGCACUGCCACCAGGUAAAAAAGUUAUUUUAUUUUACAGCACCGUCUGUUACCAGCCAGCCUAAAAUCUCCUUUGUUUCUCCUCAAAAGCUACUCAAGGUUUGGGGUGUCAAUUAAUGAAGCAGAGUUAAAAGUUUGCUGAAAAGAUAAAAAAUAGUACCUUGUAGGGAAAACUUAUGCCAACUUAUGGACCAACCCAGCUCUGUAAGUGUGAUGUUUGUAUGACACUUCUUGAUGUUCUUCUCCAUGCAGUGUGUCUCCUUUUUCUGAGAAGAUGGCACCUUGAGCAGAAAGCCAAAAGCAAGUCCACAUAGCCUGGGGCUAUGUCAAGUGCGAUCAACAAAUUCAGGGAAGUUAAGGGGGAUUAAACCCUAUAUACCAGGCAUGUCCAACUUUAACCUGAACCCCAAAAAAGGGGGUAGAUCACUGCCAGUUUAUAACUCUGUGAGUAGAUUGCAGUGUCUUGGGAGUUGGCCACCCCUCCUAUAUACAGGUAGAGCCUACUUUCAGACCAUCUGGUCUUCAGUGAAUUAACCACCAUCCAAUCCGAGUCCUCGACACAUCCAGUUUAACAAGUUAAUCCCGCCUGACUUUACUCCAGAAGUAUCCAAAGCAGUUUACAAACAGAAGAUAAAAAUUCCUUAUAAAACAAAAACAACAUUAAAAAAAUAGAUAACGGAUGAUAAUAAUAUAGUGCUGUGAUACGGAUUUCCGCAAAAUAAUAUGUGUAAAGCACCCAGGGAGGUAUUCUCCUUCAAAGGCUGUAUUAAGUGGCAUGAUUUUUAAGCCUGUCUGGUUAAAGCAUAAUUUAUGUUAUUGUUUGCUUUUGUUGGUUUUCUUCAGCAAUUUGUUUUUUAUUUUUGUAAACUGAGGCUGUUUUAAAUUUUAGAUGCGUAUACUUUGGAGUUCAGGAGGGGUAAACUAGAAGCCAGCAUAGGCUUUGUCAGGAACUUGACUGUACUAUACUACCCUAAUUUUCUUUGUUGACAAGGUCUUAUAUCAAUUGACAUCACUGAGGCUACAUUCCUAUACCCACUUACCUUGGGAAUAAGCCCCACUGAAAACGGCAUGAACUUCUGUGCGGCUGUGUAUAUGAUUGUGCUACAAGCUGGUCCAACGUGAUGUUUUCUUUUAAAAGCCCAGAGCAAUACCAUAAAGAAAAAAUGCUAUUUGUACAAAUCUUUCCGACCGUGUUUAUAUGUAACAUUUUUUGCUUUGAAACAGCAGUGUCCUUUCUCCCCAGCUGCGUAUAUCCAUUAUUUCCAUUUUCUUUGGACUUGUCUGCUGGCAGUAAUUCAUUGAAACAUCUGUGGAAAAUAACCUCUGCAGACUUGACAAGCAAGCAUUUGAACAUACAUUGUUCAAGAGCCAGAGGACCGUAAACCGAAGAAG